GACGAACGCUGGCGGCGUGCCUAAUACAUGCAAGUAGAACGCACAGUUUAUACCGUAGCUUGCUACACCAUAGACUGUGAGUUGCGAACGGGUGAGUAACGCGUAGGUAACCUGCCUGGUAGCUGGGGAUAACUAUUGGAAACGAUAGCUAAUACCUCAUAAUAUUAAUUAUUGCAUGAUAAUUAAUUGAAAGGUGCAAUUGCACCACUACCAGAUGGACCUGCGUUGUAUUAGUUAGUAGGUGAGGUAACGGCUCACCUAGGCGACGAUACAUAGCCGACCUGAGAGGGUGAUCGGCCACACUGGGACUGAGACACGGCCCAGACUCCUACGGGAGGCAGCAGUAGGGAGUCUUCGGCAAUGGACGAAAGUCUGACCGAGCAACGCCGCGUGAGUGAAGAAGGUUGUCGGAUCGUAAAGCUCUGUUGUAAGAGAAGAACGGGUGUGAGAGUGGAAAGUUCACACUGUGACGGUAUCUUACCAGAAAGGAACGGCUAACUACGUG
rnacentral:rRNA from 1 species